AGAGUUUGAUCCUGGCUCAGGAUGAACGCUAGCGGCAGGCUUAAUACAUGCAAGUCGAACGGUAAGGCCCUGCUUGCAGGGUACACGAGUGGCGCACGGGUGAGUAACGCGUAUGCAACCUACCAUUAACUGGAAGAUAGCCCAGAGAAAUCUGGAUUAAUACUCCAUAACAUCAUUUUUUCGCAUGAUUAGAUGAUAAAAGCUCCGGCGGUUUAUGAUGGGCAUGCGUGACAUUAGUUUGUUGGUGAGGUAACGGCUCACCAAGACUACGAUGUCUAGGGGGUCUGAGAGGAUGGUCCCCCACACUGGUACUGAGACACGGACCAGACUCCUACGGGAGGCAGCAGUAGGGAAUAUUGGUCAAUGGGCGAAAGCCUGAACCAGCCAUGCCGCGUGCAGGAAGACGGCCUUAUGGGUUGUAAACUGCUUUUAUAUAGGAAAGAAAGAUAAAUACGUGUAUUUAUUUGACGGUAGUAUAUGAAUAAGCAUCGGCUAACUCCGUGCCAGCAGCCGCGGUAAUACGGAGGAUGCGAGCGUUAUCCGGAUUUAUUGGGUUUAAAGGGUGUGUAGGCGGAUUUUUAAGUCAGUGGUGAAAUCUCUCGGCUCAACCGAGAAACUGCCAUUGAUACUGGAAGUCUUGAGUUUAGAUGAAGUAGGCGGAAUAUGUCAUGUAGCGGUGAAAUGCAUAGAUAUGACAUAGAACACCGAUAGCGAAGGCAGCUUACUAAUCUAUAACUGACGCUGAUGCACGAAAGCGUGGGUAGCAAACAGGAUUAGAUACCCUGGUAGUCCACGCUGUAAACGAUGUUCACUCGUUGUUGGCGAUACAUAGUCAGCGACUAAGCGAAAGUGAUAAGUGAACCACCUGGGGAGUACGAUCGCAAGGUUGAAACUCAAAGGAAUUGACGGGGGCCCGCACAAGCGGAGGAGCAUGUGGUUUAAUUCGAUGAUACGCGAGGAACCUUACCUGGGCUUAAAUGUAGAUUGACAGUAAAAGAGAUUUGAUUUUAUCUUCGGACAAUUUUCAAGGUGCUGCAUGGUUGUCGUCAGCUCGUGCUGUGAAGUGUCGGGUUAAGUCCCAUAACGAGCGCAACCCCUAUCUUUAGUUGCUAGCAUGUAAUGCUGGGGACUCUAGGAGAACUGCCUAGUCAAGUAGAGAGGAAGGUGGGGAUGACGUCAAAUCAGCACGGCCCUUACGUCCAGGGCUACACACGUGCUACAAUGGCCGGUACAGAGGGCAGCCACCUGGUGACAGGGAGCGAAUCUCUAAAGCCGGUCUCAGUUCGGAUCGAAGUCUGCAACCCGACUUCGUGAAGCUGGAAUCGCUAGUAAUCGCGCAUCAGCCAUGGCGCGGUGAAUACGUUCCCGGGCCUUGUACACACCGCCCGUCAAGCCAUGGAAGCUGGGGGUACCUGAAGUCGGUGACCGUAAGGAGCUGCCUAGGGUAAAACUAGUGACUGGGGUUAAGUCGUAACAAGGUAGCCGUA
rnacentral:rRNA from 1 species